rnacentral:misc_RNA from 1 species
AAGUCGUAACAAGGUUUCCGUAGGUGAACCUGCGGAAGGAUCAUUAAGGAGAAACGCCAGGGGAACGGUACCCGGGGGCAACCCUAAGUGCCUAGUACACCUAACUCCACCCGUGAAUACAUACCAUUGUUGCUUUGGCAAGGCCUCCGGCUCCGGCUGGGUCGCGCCUGCCAGAGGACCUCAACUCUGAAAUUACGUGACGUCUGAGUACUAUCUAAUAGUUAAAACUUUCAACAACGGAUCUCUUGGUUCUG